rnacentral:rRNA from 1 species
CCUGACUGCUAUCGGAUUGAUACUAAGCCAUGCGAGUCAUUGUAGCAAUACAAGGCAUACGGCUCAGUAACGCGUAGUCAACCUAACCUAUGGACGGGAAUAACCUCGGGAAACUGAGAAUAAUGCCCGAUAGAACACUAUACCUGGAAUGGUUUGUGUUCCAAAUGAUUUAUCGCCAUAGGAUGGGACUGCGGCCUAUCAGUUUGUUGGUGAGGUAAUGGCCCACCAAGACUAUUACAGGUACGGGCUCUGAGAGGAGUAGCCCGGAGAUGGGUACUGAGACACGGACCCAGGCCCUAUGGGGCGCAGCAGGCGAGAAAACUUUGCAAUGUGCGAAAGCACGACAAGGUUAAUCCGAGUGAUUUGUGCUAAACGAAUCUUUUGUUAGUCCUAGAAACACUAACGAAUAAGGGGUGGGCAAGUUCUGGUGUCAGCCGCCGCGGUAAAACCAGCACCUCAAGUGGUCAGGAUGAUUAUUGGGCCUAAAGCAUCCGUAGCCGGCUCUGUAAGUUUUCGGUUAAAUCUGUACGCUUAACGUACAGGCUGCCGGGAAUACUGCAGAGCUAGGGAGUGGGAGAGGUAGACGGUACUCAGUAGGAAGUGGUAAAAUGCUUUGAUCUAUCGAUGACCACCUGUGGCGAAGGCGGUCUACCAGAACACGUCCGACGGUGAGGGAUGAAAGCUGGGGGAGCAAACCGGAUUAGAUACCCGGGUAGUCCCAGCUGUAAACUAUGCAAACUCAGUGAUGCAUUGGCUUGUGGCCAAUGCAGUGCUGCAGGGAAGCCGUUAAGUUUGCCGCCUGGGAAGUACGUACGCAAGUAUGAAACUUAAAGGAAUUGGCGGGGGAGCACCACAAGGGGUGAAGCCUGCGGUUC